UUUACGGAGAGUUUGAUCCUGGCUCAGGACGAACGCUGGCGGCGUGCUUAACACAUGCAAGUCGAACGAUGAACCCGGAGCUUGCUCCGGCGGAUUAGUGGCGAACGGGUGAGUAACACGUGAGUAACCUGCCCUUGACUCUGGGAUAACUGCUAGAAAUGGUAGCUAAUACCGGAUACGACCCUCGGCGGCAUCGCCAGGGGGUGGAAAGAAUUUCGGUCAAGGAUGGACUCGCGGCCUAUCAGCUAGUUGGUGAGGUAAUGGCUCACCAAGGCGACGACGGGUAGCCGGCCUGAGAGGGUGACCGGCCACACUGGGACUGAGACACGGCCCAGACUCCUACGGGAGGCAGCAGUGGGGAAUAUUGCACAAUG
rnacentral:rRNA from 1 species